GAUGAACGCUGGCGGCGUGCCUAAUACAUGCAAGUCGAGCGAAGCGGGGACGGGUGAGUAACACGUGGAUAACCUCCUAUAAGACUGGGAUAAAUUCGGGAAACCGUAGCUAAACCGGAAACUUAUAGAUGGAUCCGUGCUGCAUUAGCUAGGUGGUAAGGUAACGGCUUACAAAGGCAACGAUGCAUAGCCGACCUGAGAGUGGGAUCAGCCACACUGGAACGGAGACACGGUCCAGACUCCUACGGUAGGCAGCAGUGGGGAAUCUUCCGCAAUGGGCGAAAGCCUGACUCAGCAACGCCGCGUGAGUGAUGAAGGUCUUCGGAUUGUAAAACUCUGUUAUUAGGGAAGCGGUACCUAAUCAGAAAGCCACGGCUAACUACGUGCCAGCAGCCGCGGUAAUUC
rnacentral:rRNA from 1 species